rnacentral:ncRNA from 1 species
UAAAAGGCGAUGAAAAGAAGAAGUAAAAAUAGUCUCCUCAUUAAAGAGAGCACUCGGUUGGUGGAAGAGUGUAUGAGGGCUAUUUUGAACACAUCUUGGAGCUUGGCACCGAAAUUAUAGUAGGCUGUCACGGGAACCUUCACCCGUUAUAGUGAUAGGGUAUGUAUGUACCUAAUAAGGUUAAUGCCGCGAGGCAUUAAUGAAUUGGGGUGGGACCACGGGAGUAAGCUCUCGUCCUCAAA